AGAGUUUGAUCMUGGCUCAGAACGAACGCUGGCGGCGUGCCUAACACAUGCAAGUCGAGCGCGAAAGUCCCUUCGGGGGCGAGUAGAGCGGCGGACGGGUGAGUAAUACAUGGAUAAUCUCCCCUCGAGCCCGGGAUAACCCUGCGAAAGUGGGGCUAAUACCGGAUAAGACCACGUUACCCAGGUAAUGCGGGAAAAGGUGGCUUUAUUUCGGAUGAGGCUAUCACUUGAGGAUGAGUCCAUGGCCUAUCAGCUUGUUGGUGAGGUAAAGGCUUACCAAGGCGAUGACGGGUAGCUGGUCUAAGAGGACGACCAGCCACACUGGGACUGAGACACGGCCCAGACUCCUACGGGAGGCAGCAGUGGGGAAUAUUGSGCAAUGGGSGMAASCCUGACSCAGCGACGCCGCGUGGGUGAUGAAGGCCUGCGGGUUGUAAAGCACUUUUAGUGGGGAUGAAAAGCUCGGGGCUAAUACCUCCGGGUCUUGACCUAACCCAAAGAAAAAGCACCGGCUAACUCUGUGCCAGCAGCCGCGGUAAUA
rnacentral:rRNA from 1 species